UACAGAGGUCUCAAGCGUUGUUCGGAUUCAUUGGGCGUAAAGGGGUGCGUAGGUGGCGCGCUAAGUCAGGUGUGAAAUUUCGGAGCUUAACUCCGAAACUGCAUUUGGAUACUGGCGUGCUUGAGGACUGGAGAGGAGACUGGAAUUCAUGGUGUAGCAGUGAAAUGACGUAGAGAUCAUGAGGAAGACCAGUGGCGAAGGCGGGUCUCUGGACAGUUCCUGACACUGGAGGCACGAAGGCCAGGGGAGCAAACGGG
rnacentral:rRNA from 1 species